rnacentral:rRNA from 1 species
AGAGUUUGAUGGUGGCUCAGAUUGAACGCUGGCGGCAGGCCUAACACAUGCAAGUCGAACGGUAACAUGAAGUGCUUGCACUUUGAUGACGAGUGGCGGACGGGUGAGUAAUACUUAGGGAUCUGCCCUUUGGCGGGGGAUAACCAUUGGAAACGAUGGCUAAUACCGCAUAUUACCUACGGGUAAAAGGGGGGAAGCUUGCUUCCUCUCGCCAGAGGAUGAGCCUAAGCGAGAUUAGCUAGUUGGUGGGGUAAAGGCUCACCAAGGCGACGAUCUCUAGCUGUUCUGAGAGGAAGAUCAGCCACACUGGGACUGAGACACGGCCCAGACUCCUACGGGAGGCAGCAGUGGGGAAUAUUGCGCAAUGGGGGGAACCCUGACGCAGCCAUGCCGCGUGUGUGAAGAAGGCCUUCGGGUUGUAAAGCACUUUCAGUGGUGAGGAAGGCAUAUUAGCUAAUACCUAAUAUGAUUGACGUUAACCACAGAAGAAGCACCGGCUAACUCCGUGCCAGCAGCCGCGGUAAUACGGAGGGUGCGAGCGUUAAUCGGAAUUACUGGGCGUAAAGCGCACGCAGGUGGUCAAUUAAGCCAGAAGUGAAAGCCCCGCGCUCAACGUGGGAAGGCCUUUUGGAACUGGUUGACUAGAGUCUUGGAGAGGGGAGUGGAAUUUCUGGUGUAGCGGUGAAAUGCGUAGAUAUCAGAAGGAACAUCAGUGGCGAAGGCGACUCUCUGGCCAAAGACUGACACUCAUGUGCGAAAGUGUGGGUAGCGAACAGGAUUAGAUACCCUGNUAGUCCACACCGUAAACGCUGUCUAUUAGCUGUGUGUGACUAUAAGUUGUGCGUAGCGAAGCUAACGCGAUAAAUAGACCGCCUGGGGAGUAC